UUAUUUUGGUUCACAGUUUGUAGAAGUUUCCAUAGUCAUCUGGCUCCAAGGCAGGGCAGCAUGCCAUAGGAUAAACAGCUUAUGGCAUGGUGGCAGAAAGAGAGACUGAUCAAAGGAGGAGAGGAGAUAUCUCUUUCCGGGACAUCCCCUCAUCCACCCAUGUCCUCCCAUCAGAUUUCACCUCACAACAUCACAUUUAACCAUAAACUCAUCAGUGGACUAAUCCACUGAUAAAUACAUGCCCUGAUGAUCCAAUCACAUCCCAAAGGCCCCAUCUACCAUCUCAUGAGGCUUUGGAGAGACAUCUAGAUAUCAACCAUAACACCAUCCUGUUUUGUUUAACCUUUCUUACUAUUUUGUCUUUAUCUAAUUUUCCUUAACAAUUUUUGUACUAUUUUAUGUUUUGCAAAGCAUCUGAAAUUAUUUCUGACAGAAGACAUAGAAAAGGUAGGUAGGUAGGUAGGUAGAUAGAUAGAUAGACAGAUAGAUAGAUAGAUAGAUAGAUAGAUGAUAGAUGAUAGAUAGGCCAGAUCUCUACACAACUAGUUCAAAUGCUAUCAUAUUAAUUGACAGAGUACAGAAGCAUUUGUUGGAAAAAAAAUCUCAGUAAUCAACAAUUACAUAUUAAACCAGUAGAAAGUUUUCAGAGAGCAUUCCACUAUACCUUCCUAGUAAAGGCAGAUGGAGACUCCUUAGAUUGCACAGAGCUGGCCAGAGCUGAUGAGAACCACAGUACAAACUACCCAUGAGUAUAAAAGAGACAGGGAGAAAAGUGUUGAAAGAUUUCCUUUUUAUAACUGUUGUUAAAAAGCUAAAAUUCUCACUCUGCUAAAUGGAGUAUUAUGGUCAAAUACCUUCAAAAUGAAAAAUUAGUCAACUUGACAAAAAAUCAACUAUCAUGUGGGUGUUCUGAUAAGGGUAGUUCGGGAAGGGAAAACCAAAUCUGUAGUGGGUAUUUCUACUCACUUCAAUUUCUUCUCAUAUAGCAUUAUUUCUCAGCAAAUCUGUAUCCUCAAUAAGUUUCCUUUUUAUAUAUUUUCGUUGAUUUGCAUUGGUUUUAUCAGCCUAAUGCAGUUACAUUUGCCUUUCCUGUUAGUUUUCUGAGAUCUUGGCACCUAAACUUUUCCAGACUCACUUGCUGAUGACUAUCUAGAGUUCAGGAUCAAUGGCUUUCAAUGGUUCUUACAUGAGUUAAUAGAAACACCAAUUAAAGACUGGUAAUGGAAUAGCACACUAGCCUGUGGAUCUCAAAGCAAUUUACCAAGAAUCAUUAUAUGAUCUUAUAAUGUCUAGUACAAGUGAUUCUGUCUGCAUUUGCUUGUGGCACUGUGAAACCCAAGGCCCAUUUCUCUUACUGUGCUAUGCCUGAACAGGCUGAUGAUAACCCUGGGAACUCUUCAGAAAUCAGUGGGGAAGCUGGUGGAAACUCUGCACUGCAGGGGGUUAGAGGUUAAGCCUGCUGUUCAGUUGUCCCACAUGGAAUCACACAGCAGAUUGGUUACUUCCACAGUGUAGCUCCUUAUGGUUGAACUAACAGGUAUCUUUUUAGGUCCAACCAGUGUUUUGCAUGUUGGAGCUACUGACCCAAUCUUCCAUUCAGAUUUGACUCUACUGCCAGGUGGAGACUUCAGGAAGGCACGGAGAAUUUCCCCUACUGAUACAGGGAAAUAAAGACUUCCUUCUCCCGAGCACAAAGGACCUCAAGGAAUUGAUGGAUUAAAGACAAUGAACAUUUUAAAGAUCUUUGAUAUGCACUUCUUAAUUCACCCCACACACACCAAAGACAAUACCAACAUAUUGCUCAUCAGUAGAACAUUAGAAUUUCCAAAGUAUCCUUUUGUCAUUUUUUUUCUCCACUCAAGUUUGCUCUUAAGGUUCAUUUAAUCUUAUUUUUCCUGGAUGUAAAUAUUCCCAAGGGUAGAAUGAGGUAUUUAAAAUAUAGCAUGAUUUCCAACAAAGGCCCCUAACCCUAAAGCACUGGUGGUGUGGUGGUGGUGGUGGUGGCAGAAAUGAUGAGUGAUCUAUACUUUCCCUUCCCAAAUAAAAAGAGCCCCACCCCUUGA